rnacentral:rRNA from 1 species
GUGUAACAACUCACCUGCCGAAUGAAUUAGCCCCGAAAAUUUUGAUGGCUCUCCAGCGUGCGACCGAUACUCGGACAUUGCAACGAAAGUCUGAUUGCAAUGAGUAGGGGGGGCGUAGGCGUCUUGUCGAAGCUUUGAGCGUGAGCCUGAGUAGAAAGGCGUCUAGUGCAGAUCUUGGUGGUAGUAGCAAUUAUUCAAAUGAGAACUUUGAAGGCCGAAGUGGAGAAGGUUUUCCAUGAGAACAGCAAUUGGUCAUGGGUGACUCGGUCCUAAGAUAUUGGUAAACACCUUGCAAAUGAGCUUCGGCUCGCGAUCGAAGAAGGGAAAAUGAGGUUAAUAUUCCUCAAGCUGGCUAUGGAUGUCACGGUAACGUUUGUGAGCUCGGUGACACCAGCGCGUGCCUCUGAAAGAGUUAUCUUUUCUUUCCUAACAGUCAAGCGACCCUGAAAUCGGAUUAUCCGGAGAUGAGGGUUGUAAGGCUGGAAUAGUGUAUGUUUCUUGAUACAAAUUAG